UACAGAGGGUGCGAGCGUUAAUCGGAAUUAUUGGGCGUAAAGCGCGCGUAGGUGGUUGGUUAAGUUGGAUGUGAAAGCCCCGGGCUCAACCUGGGAACUGCAUGCAAAACUGGCCAGCUAGAGUACAGGAGAGGGUGGUGGAAUUUCCUGUGUAGCGGUGAAAUGCGUAGAUAUAGGAAGGAACACCAGUGGCGAAGGCGGCCACCUGGACUGAUACUGACACUGAGGUGCGAAAGCGUGGGGAGCAAACAGG
rnacentral:misc_RNA from 1 species